rnacentral:rRNA from 1 species
AUUGAACGCUGGCGGCAGGCCUAACACAUGCAAGUCGAACGAGUGGCGGACGGGUGAGUAAUGCCUGGGAAACUGCCUGAUGGAGGGGGAUAACUACUGGAAACGGUAGCUAAUACCGCAUACUAUCGGAUGUGCCCAGAUGGGAUUAGCGAGUGGGUGGGGUAACGGCUCACCUAGGCGACGAUCCCUAGCGGGUCUGAGAGGAUGACCAGCCACACUGGAACUGAGACACGGUCCAGACUCCUACGGACGGAAGCAGUGGGGAAUAUUGCACAAUGGGCGAAAUCCUGAUGCAGCCAUGCCGCGUGUAUGAGGAAGGCCUUCGGGUUGAAAAGUACUUUCAGCGGGGAGGCGUUACCCGAAGAGGAAGCACCGGCUAACUCCGUGCCAGCAGCCGCGGUAAUAC